UACGUAGGCAGCAAGCGUUGUUCGGAGUUACUGGGCGUAAAGGGUGUGUAGGCGGUCUUCUAAGUUUGGUGUGAAAUCUCCCGGCUCAACUGGGAGGGUGCGCCGAAAACUGGGAGGCUAGAGUACUGGAUGGGAGAGUGGAAUUCCUGGUGUAGCGGUGAAAUGCGUAGAUAUCGUAAGGAAGACCAGUGGCGAAGGCGGGUCUCUGGACAGUUCCUGACGCUGAGGCACGAAGGCCAGGGGAGCAAACGGG
rnacentral:rRNA from 1 species